rnacentral:tRNA from 1 species
CAUAAAAUGUACCUUUUACUUAACUUAAUUUGAAAUUUAGUAUAAAUAAUUAAUUCUUUGUAUUUUUAUGA